rnacentral:misc_RNA from 1 species
AAGUCGUAACAAGGUUUGGUUGAACGGAUCCCUGCCGGAAGCCUUUUGCAACACAACGACUAUAACCAUGUGUGCAGUCUAGAAAUGUUCUUCUAGGCGACGUUGCCCCUCUGCUGGGAGCCCAUCAUUGUCGAUGGUGGACCAGCAGCCAGUUUUUCUGGCUCACAGAUUAGGUGGCGGCGGUCCCGGUUUGAGAGAUCGGGAUCAAGAUAUAAUCGGUCUCUAUAGGCUAGGUCUAUAGUUGAAGACGUUCCGUAGGUGAACCUGCGGAAGGAUCAUUAUCGAGUUAGGGUCCUCUGGGCCCCAUCUCCAACCCUUGCUUACUUUACCCAUGUUGCUUCGGCGGGCCCGUCCAUGACCGGACCGCCGGGGAUUCACGUCCCUGGCCCGUGCCCGUCAGUAGCCCCGAUAAAUUCAUUUCACAGUGACAGUCUUAAGUAUACAUAUAACAAUUAAAACUUUCAACAACGGAUCUCUUGGUUCUG